UGAUAGGUCAGAGGUGGAAGCGCGGUGACGUGUGGAGCUGACUGAUACUAAUCGUUCGAGGACUUAACCAAA
rnacentral:rRNA from 1 species